UACCUGAUGGCCUUCACCUAGGCUUAAAACUAUAACUGUCAUCAGUGGGUAACUGGCACAGGCAAGCCUCUGCAAGUGGAAAAACAUUUAACCCUGAGCUAGCUACACGCUGGAUCAUCCGAGCAGCCGGAGAACAGGAAGAAACCUGCCCAGCCACCAGUGAGGGUAGAAGCCGGAGCACUUCUUCAGGGACGGCCAGACAUUUGAAAAUUUUUCUUCCCUUGAGAGACUCCAAAGAAAUAGAACAAAACUAUCCGAGAUGACUGUCACUUACUCCAGUAA